rnacentral:rRNA from 1 species
UACAGAGGGUGCGAGCGUUAUUCGGAAUUACUGGGCGUAAAGGGUGCGUAGGUGGUUAUGUAAGUUAGGUGUGAAAUUCCUGGGCUUAACCUGGGGACUGCGCCUGAUACUGUGUAGCUAGAGUACUGUAGAGGAAAGUGGAAUUUCCGGUGUAGCGGUGAAAUGCGUAGAUAUCGGAAGGAACACCAGUAGCGAAGGCGGCUCGCUGGGCCGUUCCUGACGCUGAGACGCGAAAGCUAGGGGAGCGAACAGG